rnacentral:lncRNA from 1 species
CUGCCCUAGACUCUAUUGCUACUCCUCCCUUCCCAGUAUUAUCCACCCACCCAGACCAGCUCCUCAUCACAAGGUUCUAUGGCAACCAGAUUCAGAAUCAAACCUAUCAAGGAUGUACUGGUGACAGCUCAAACUUGACUCUAAAGAGUCAAUUGGGGUAGCUAAGUAGAUGGCUCAGUGGAUAGAGAGCCAGGCCAAGAAAUGGCUCUAUUCCCGUAGACGUCGCUCUGGCUCUUUUGUAGGACUUGGCUCUGGCUCUCUCACAGUGAUGUGGCUCUCGCUCUGUCUCUGGACAUUGGUCUCUGUCAGCAACAUGGGCAGUGCUGGGCAGCGACUUGGCAUCUUGGCGUGAGCGUGCUAGGAGCUGUCUGGAGGUUGGUGGCCGGAGAACCCAGAACUGUGAAGAGAGGAGGCACCGGCGCGUGCUCUUUGGUGCUGAAGGACGGCGCGGACAAGCGACUGCUGCCAGCUGGAAUAAACCGGGCCAUGCUUUGAGAAAGAAACUGAUU